rnacentral:rRNA from 1 species
UACGGAGGGAGCUAGCGUUGUUCGGAAUUACUGGGCGUAAAGCGCACGUAGGCGGCUUUGCAAGUUAGAGGUGAAAGCCCGGAGCUCAACUCCGGAAUUGCCUUUAAAAACUGCAUCGCUAGAAUUGUGGAGAGGUAAGUGGAAUUCCGAGUGUAGAGGUGAAAUUCGUAGAUAUUCGGAAGAACACCAGUGGCGAAGGCGACUUACUGGACACAUAUUGACGCUGAGGUGCGAAAGCGUGGGGAGCAAACAGG